ACUUUAAUAGCUUAUACAAGAGCGUGGCACUGAAGAUGCCAACGAGGCAGGUCUGUCUUAAAGUA
rnacentral:tRNA from 1 species